rnacentral:rRNA from 1 species
UGAAUUUGGGUUUUAACUUAGAUUUGGGUGGCGGACGGGUGAGUAACGCGUAAAGAACUUGCCUCACAGCUAGGGACAACAUUUAGAAAUGAAUGCUAAUACCUGAUAUUAUGAUUUUAAGGCAUCUUAGAAUUAUGAAAGCUAUAUGCACUGUGAGAGAGCUUUGCGUCCCAUUAGCUAGUUGGAGAGGUAACAGCUCACCAAGGCGAUGAUGGGUAGCCGGCCUGAGAGGGUGAACGGCCACAAGGGGACUGAGACACGGCCCUUACUCCUACGGGAGGCAGCAGUGGGGAAUAUUGGACAAUGGACCGAGAGUCUGAUCCAGCAAUUCUGUGUGCACGAUGAAGUUUUUCGGAAUGUAAAGUGCUUUCAGUUGGGAAGAAAAAAAUGACGGUACCAACAGAAGAAGUGACGGCUAAAUACGUGCCAGCAGCCGCGGUAAUACGUAUGUCACGAGCGUUAUCCGGAUUUAUUGGGCGUAAAGCGCGUCUAGGUGGUUAUGUAAGUCUGAUGUGAAAAUGCAGGGCUCAACUCUGUAUUGCGUUGGAAACUGUAUAACUAGAGUACUGGAGAGGUAAGCGGAACUACAAGUGUAGAGGUGAAAUUCGUAGAUGUUUGUAGGAAUGCCGAUGGGGAAGCCAGCUUACUGGACAGAUACUGACGCUAAAGCGCGAAAGCGUGGGUAGCAAACAGG